CAGUAGCCGCGGUAAUACGUAGGGUGCAAGCGUUAAUCGGAAUUACUGGGCGUAAAGCGUGCGCAGGCGGUUCGGAAAGAAAGGUGUGAAAUCCCAGGGCUUAACCUUGGAACUGCACUUUUAACUACCGGGCUAGAGUGUGUCAGAGGGGGGUGGAAUUCCGCGUGUAGCAGUGAAAUGCGUAGAGAUGCGGAGGAACACCGAUGGCGAAGGCAGCCCCCUGGGAUAACACUGACGCUCAUGCACGAAAGCGUGGGGAGCAAACAGGAUUAGAUACCCGCGUAGUCCCUGUCUCUUAUAC
rnacentral:rRNA from 1 species